rnacentral:rRNA from 1 species
AUUGAACGCUGGCGGCAGGCCUAACCCAUGCAAGUCGCACGAGUGGCGGACGGGUGAGUACUGUCUGGGAAACUGCCUGAUGGAGGGGGAUAACUACUGGAAACGGUAGCUAAUACCGCAUACCCUCAGAUGUGCCCCGAUGGGAUUAGCUUGGUGGUGGGGUAACGGCUCACCAAGGCGACGCUCCCUAGCUGGUGUGAGAGGGUGACCAGCCACACGGGAACUGAGACAGGGUCCAGACUCCUACGGGAGGCAGCAGUGGGGAAUAUGGCACAAUGGGCGCAAGCCUGAUGCAGCCAUGCCGGGUGUAUGAAGAAGGCCGUCGGGUUGUAAAGUACUUUCAGCGGGGAGGCGUUACCCGCAGAAGAAGCACCGGCUAACGCCGUGCCAGCAGCCGCGGUAAUUC